rnacentral:misc_RNA from 1 species
GAUGAAGAACGUAGCAAAAUGCGAUAAGUAAUGUGAAUUGCAGAAUUCAGUGAAUCAUCGAAUCUUUGAACGCACAUUGCGCCCGCUGGUAUUCCGGCGGGCAUGCCUGUUCGAGCGUCAUUUCAACCCUCAAGCCCCCGGGUUUGGUGUUGGGGAUCGGCUCUGCCCUCUGGGCGGUGCCGCCCCCGAAAUACAUUGGCGGUCUCGCUGCAGCCUCCAUUGCGUAGUAGCUAACACCUCGCAACUGGAACGCGGCGCGGCCAUGCCGUAAAACCCCAACUUCUGAAUGUUGACCUCGGAUCAGGUAGGAAUACCCGCUGAACUUAAGCAUAUCAAUAAGCGGAGA